rnacentral:rRNA from 1 species
GAAUUUUAAAGGAAAUGACGGAAGGGCACCACCAGGAGUGGAGCCUGCGGCUUAAUUUGACUCAACACGGGAAAACUCACCAGGCCCGGACACCGGAAGGAUUGACAGAUUGAGAGCUCUUUCUUGAUUCGGUGGGUGGUGGUGCAUGGCCGUUCUUAGUUGGUGGAGCGAUUUGUCUGGUUAAUUCCGAUAACGAACGAGACUCUAGCCUACUAACUAGGCGUACCCGGUAUCCACAAUCGUGCUACCGGCGAUCAUAUUUCUUCUUAGAGGGACAGGCGGCUUCUAGCCGCACGAGACUGAGCAAUAACAGGUCUGUGAUGCCCUUAGAUGUCCUGGGCCGCACGCGCGCUACACUGAAGGAAUCAGCGUGUCUUCCCUGUCCGAAAGGACCGGGUAACCCGCUGAACCUCCUUUGUGCUAGGGAUUGGGGCUUGCAAUUGUUCCCCAUGAACGAGGAAUUCCCAGUAAGCGCGAGUCAUAAGCUCGCGUUGAUUACGUCCCUGCCCUUUGUACACACCGCCCGUCGCUACUACCGAUUGAAUGAUUUAGUGAGGUCUUCGGACUGGUGCGCGGAGGCCGCUUACGUGGUCUCCGAUGUUGCCGGAAAGAUGACCAAACUUGAUCAUUUAGAGGAAGUAAAAGUCGUAACAAGGUUCCCGUAGG